rnacentral:rRNA from 1 species
UACGAAGGGGGCUAGCGUUGUUCGGAAUUACUGGGCGUAAAGGGCGCGUAGGCGGUGUGUCAAGUCAGGCGUGAAAGCCCCGGGCUCAACCUGGGAACCGCGCUUGAGACUGGCACGCUAGAGUUCGGGAGAGGAUGGUGGAAUUCCCAGUGUAGAGGUGAAAUUCGUAGAUAUUGGGAAGAACACCAGUGGCGAAGGCGGCUAUCUGGACGGUUUCUGACGCUAAGACGCGAAAGCGUGGGGAGCAAACAGG